rnacentral:miRNA from 1 species
GGCUGGAGCUGCGGCAGCCCUGGGCAGGACCACCCUGCGGGUGCCGCUC